ensembl:lncRNA
ACACAUGAUUGAAUGAAAACAUUUUUUGCAAGUAAAAUAGAAAAGAAACAAAUGUUUACAAGGUCAAGCCUAUGUAGAAAAAAAAGAUGAUACAACAAAGAACAUUUUUAAUAUAUUCUGCCAUGUGAAAAGAAAACUGGAAGGUCAGUAACAUUUUAUCAGAACUUUUGAAAAAAAUGGAAGAGGCGGGGCUGGUUGAAUAAAGUAGGCAGCCCUUUGGAAAAUAUUCUAUUUAUUCUAAAAAGAUGACUUCAAGAAGGCUCUGAGUUUCCUCUCUUCUGGAGUUUAUAACUCUCUCUUAGGGAGCUCACUGUUCCCAAGAGCUCAGCCAAUUAGAGGCUCCCUUGAUUUCUCUUCUUGCCUACCCAGGAGCUGUAACACCACCCAACAAGAUCGAUGAGAGAAGAUCCUGGGAAAGUCAUCCAUCUGAGGCAAGGAACAGAAAUGAAUAUUCAUUGAAGAACAAUGUUGCCCCACAAAAAUUUUAGGAGUCCGGCAUUGUUGCUUCAGAGUAAUUGUCCACAUUGCUCAUGGAAGGAGAGUGAACAGGCCAUGUUACAUGUCAAUCAUACACAGUCAGGCCAACAGAAAUUAUACUCUGAAAGUCAUGUCUGUGAAUGUUCACAUUCAGCUGAGAUUCCUGUCCCUCAGGGAAAAUCUGGCAUAUGGCCUCCACUAUCAGAUCCUGAUAAAUGUACCCUUGAGAGUCUAUCCUGUGAUGAUACCCAACAAACUGAGAAAUCCCCACCUCAUGGAAAAGUUGCCAUCCAACCAAUGCUAUCAAGUCAAGGGAAAUUCACUAAUGAAAGUUCAGGUUAUGAAAACUUACAGUCCAUUGAUUCUACCCUUCCUCAUGGAAAAGCUACAAUCUGGCCUCCACUGUCAAGCCGGGGAAAAUUCUGGGAAGACUCAUACCAAAUGGAGAGUGUCAUUCCUCGUGUAAAGGCAACCAUUCAACAGAUUCCAUCAGGCAGAGCAAAAUUUACCUCUGAGAAUACAAUCUGGGAAGGCUCACAAUCAAAUCAAACUACCAUCUACCAUGGAAAAAGUGGUGUCUACCACCCAUCAUUUGGCAGAGGGAAAUUAAUCCGUGAAAGUCCAGUUUGGGAAGGAUCACGACCAAAUGGGACUCCUCUCCAACUUGGAAAAAUUGGCAUCCAGAAUACAUCUGUAACUAGAGGAAAAUUCAGUCGUGAGAAUUCAGCAUGGGAAGGCUCACAACCAGCUGAAAAUACCCUCUCUCAUAAAAAGCCUAUUGUCUGGCCUCCACCACCAAACCGAGAAAAAUUCAUCUCUGAGAAUAUAGCUUGUGAAGGUCCAAAACCAGCUGAGACUACAUAUGGCCAGGGCAAGUCUAUCAUCUACCCAUCAUCAUCAAGCCAAAGAAAAUUAUUGAAUGACAAUUCCAUGUGGGAAGGCUCCCAAUCAGGUGAAACUCCCUUUCUUAGAAAAAAUGCAAAUCAUCCCUCACCAGGCCCAGGGAGAUUCACUUGUGACAGUCCAAAGUGGAAAGGUUCACAAAAUGCUGGGACUCCCCAUCUUUUCAGUAAAAGUGGCACCAGAAUCCCACAAUUAGGCAGAGGGAAAUUGAGCUUUGAGAAAUUUCUAUGGCAAGGCUCUCAACCAUCUGAAAUUCCUCACGCAAAACUUACUGUCAAACGUUCGCCAUCCUGUUUAGGGAAAUUUACUUAUGGUAAAUCACUUUGGGAAGGUUCCCAACCAGGUGAGACUAUCUUAACUCAAAGAAAAGUUAAUAUCAAGCGCUCACCAUCAUGUCAAGGGAAACUUGCUUAUGAUAAAUCAGUUUGGGAAGGUUUAAAACCUGCUGAAGCCCCACUACAGCGUGGAAAAACAACAGUCUGGCCUCCACCACCCAGGCGAGGGAAAUCAUCCAGUGAAGUUUCAUCAUGGAAAGAUAAAGAGUCAGCAGAGACUCCCCAUUCCUUUGGGAAAAUUAUCACCAGAGGAAAAUUCAACUGUGAGAGUUCAGGGAUAGAAGGUUCACAAAAUGCUGAGAUUGCCUAUGUUCUUGGAAAACCAGUGAUCCAGACCCCACAGUCAGGCAAAGUGAAGUUAACUUUUGAUGAUCCUGAAUGUGAAGGCACAGAACCAGCUGAGACUUCUCUCCCUCACAGCAAAACUACCAUCCAACGCAGACAAUCUUUUCUUGGGAAAUUUACCUGUGAAAACCAAACAUGGGAAGGCACACAAUCAGAUGAGAAUGCCAUCCCCAAUGGAAAAACUUUAAGCUGGUCCCCACCAGCAGGACAAGGAAAAUUCUCCUUUGACAGUUCAAGCUGUGAUGAUUCCCAAGUAUUUGAAACUACCCACUCUCAUGGAAAAGGUCCACUCCAUCUCCAACCAUUGGGCAAAGGGAAAUGCAUACAGGAGAAACCAGGCUGGGAAGGUUCACAGUCAGCUGAAUCCCCUCUUCCCAUUGGAAAGUCUGCUGUUCAGCCCAAAACAGGAAGAGAGAAAUUCACCUGUGAGAAUUCAGUUUGGGAAAACUCUCAGUCAACCAAACUUUCUCACAGAAAAACUCGAGUUCAGCACUCUGCAUUGGUUCGAGGAAAAUUCCGCAGUGAAAGUACAAUCUGGGAAAGCACACAACCAUCUGAGGUGCCUCUGCUUCAGGGAAAAUCUGCUGUUUGGCCCCCACAAUCAUCCCGUAUGAAAUUCACUUGUGAUAGUCCAGUGUGGGAAUGUUCACAAAAAAUUGAGAGUUCCCUCCAUCGUGGAAAAGUUGCUUGGCAGUCUCCUCCAUCAGGCAGAGGGAAAUUUGCUGGUGCACACACAUCUUGGGAAGGCUAA